rnacentral:rRNA from 1 species
GCAAGCCGCGCAAGCACAAGCACGGGCGUGGCAAGCGGCGCAGGCGUCGGCCACGCCGCAGCCCCCGCACUCGCCGCACUCCCCGCAGAUCGCCCCGAACGCGCGCAUCGGACAGGCCCCAACGCCCGCGCGCGCGCGCAUCGCAUCGCCGCCGAGCCACGAUUUCUAUCUUGGCCGCGAAGUGCGACGCACGAGCGACAGCGUGAUGUUCGAGCGCGUCUUCGAUCUGCGCACCGAUGCGUAUUUGCAGCACCACGUCGUGAACCGCUUCGCGACGCUGCCCGGCACGUUCGUGCCCGAGCUCGCGGCCGAGGCGGCGAUGAAGCUGCUGCCGGGGCUGCGCGUGGUCGGCUUUCGCGACGCCGCGUUCCGCCAUUUCCUGCGCGUGUACGAUGCGCAGCGGCCGAGCACGAAGCGCAUCCACGCGCAGGUCGUCGGCCGCGAGGGCGAGGCGGCCGUCGUGCAGGUGCGCAUCACGGGCGACGUGCUCGCGCCGAACGGGCAGGUGCUCGUCCAGGACAAGCUGCACUUCGAGAUCAAGGCGCUCGUCGCGCCGCGCCACCCGAGCGCGCCCGUCUGGCCGAUGCGCCCCGACGAGCCGCGCACGCCGGUUGCCGAUCCGUACCACUUCGAAUCGGCGCCCGUGCGGCUGACGGGCAUGUUCGUGUCGACCGCGGAUACGGGCGUCACCGCGACGGGCAAGGCCGCGCGCUACCAGUUGAACGUCGCCGCCGACGAUCCGGUGUUCUCGCGUUUCGUGAUCCCGAGCAUCAUGCUCGACGGCCUCGCGCGCGUCGCGGUGCUGAACUAUGUCGCGAACGACUACAUUCCGCUCGCCGCGCCGGUGUCGAUCGGGCGGAUCGAUCUGUACGAGGGGGGCAACGACUGCGAGCUCGCGCGCCGCUACGACCGGAUCGACCUGUACGCGACGCCGCGCGCGUUCGCGCUCGAAGGCGCGCACGGCGGCAACCGCUUCGCGGCGGUGCGCCCCGACGGCCGGAUGCUGAUGGAGAUGGGCGACGUGUCGGGCGUCGUGAUCGGCUACGUGCACCGUACGACGGGCGCAUACGCGACGAAGGCCGAGGUCGACGCGCUCGCCGCGCGCCUCGCAACCGAGCGGGAGACGGCAUGAGCAAGCACCGCCAGGCGCCGGGGCCGCGCGGCGGCCUCGUGAUGGGCAACCUCGCCGCAUACAAGCGCAAUCCGAUCACGAUGCUGCUGCGGCUGCAUCAGCAAUACGGCGACGUCGCGCGCAACCGGCUCGGCCCGUUCGUCACGCACGCGCUCGCGCAUCCGGAUCACAUUCAGUACGUGUUGCAGGAGAACCACCGCAACUACGUGCGCGGGCGUUUCUACGACAACUUCAAGAUGUUCUUCGGCGACGGCCUGCUGACGACCGACGGCGAAUUCUGGCGGCGCCACCGGCGCGUCGUGCAGCCGCUCUUUCACAAGAAGCAGGUCGAUGCGCACACGGCCGCCGUCGGCGACGCGGCGCUCGCGCUCGCGUAUCGCUGGAGCGCGCUGCCGCCCGGCAAGGCGCUCGACGUCGUCGAAGAGAUGAUGCACCUGAGCCUCAGGAUGCUCGGGCUGAUGGUGUUCAACACCGACGUGUCGUCGCACGCGGAGGCAGCGGGGCCGGCGGUGCGCUUCGGGAUCGAGGCGAUGAUGCCGCAGGGCAACCUGAACGACUUCAUUCCGCGCUGGGCGCCGACGCGCUUCAAUCGCCGGAUCGCGCACGCGCGCCGCGCGAUCGACACGAUCGUCGCGAAGAUCAUCGCCGAUCACCGCGAAGCGCGCUGCGAGCCGAGCGACGUGAUCUCGCUGCUGCUGAACGCGCGCGAUCCGGACACCGGCGCGCCGAUGACGCAGCAGGAAGUGCACGACGAAGUGAUGACCGUGUUCCUCGCGGGGCACGAGACGACGGGCGCGGGCCUCGCGUGGGCGCUGUACGCGCUCGCGCAGCAUCCGGCCGUGCUGCGCCAGUUGCGCGACGAGCUCGACGCGCGCCUCGGCGGCCGUGCGCCCACCGUGCAGGACUUCGAACAAUUGCCGUAUCUGUCGCAGGUCGUCGACGAGGUGUUGCGCGUCUAUCCGCCGAUCUGGGGCUUCACGCGCGAUCUCGUCGAGGACGACGAGAUCGGCGGCUACCGGAUUCCGGCGCGUUCGUCGGUCUUCAUGUCGCCGUACGUCACGCAUCGCCAUCCGGCGUUCUGGCGCAAUCCGGACGCGUUCGACCCGGAGAACUUCGCGAGCGACGCGCCGGCGCGCCACCGCUUCGUCUAUUUCCCGUUCGGCGGCGGGAUGCGCAAGUGCAUCGGCUUUCAGACCGCGCUCCUGCAGAUGCGCGUGCUCGUCGCGGUGGUCGCGCAGCACUUCGAUCUGAACGCGCUGCCCGGCCACCCGAUCGAGCUCGGCGCGACGAUCUCGCUGCGGCCGGUGCACGGCAUCCGUCUGAUCGUGAAGCCGCGCGAGCGGCAGCAGAGCCAUCUCGCGCGCGUGCGCGAACAUGAGUCCGCGCGCGCGCUGCGCCCGCUCGGCGAUACGGCGACGACGGCGGGCGCCGCGUGUCCGAUGACGGCGGCGCGCGAGCCGGGCGCGAGCGCCGCCGCGCUUGCCGCGGUGGAGGCGGGCGCGCUCGACGCCGCGCAUCGAGGCGGCGCGGCCGCCGCCGCCGCGGGCGAGCCUUGCCCGCCGCGCGAUCCGGCCGAGGCCGCGCCGCUGCCGCUCGCGGCGGCGCCCGCCCCGGCGUCGCCGGCCGUCGACGCCGACGCGAGCGCCCGCGGCGUGCCCGCAUGGCGCUUCACAUGGCGGCCCGUGCCCGUCGAUCCGGUGCCCGACGAGCCGUCGCCCGCGCUGAGCGGCAGGCGAAUCGCGCUCGUCAACGGGCGCGGCGGCACGGCCGAGCGGGUCGCGGCGGCGCUCGCGCGAACCUGCGCGAAAGUGUCGGUGUUCGCGCCCGCGGCGAGCGCCGAUCACGCGGAAGCGGCGCGGGUGUUCGUCAACGAGGCGGGGCCGCUCGACGGCAUCGUCGAUCUCGGGCUCGAGGCGCCGUUCGCGCUCGACGACGCGGGCGCGUGGGAGGCGCCGAUGCGCCGCACCGUCGAG